GGCGGAGCCAUGGUUGUGGGGGCGUGGCUUGGCACAAAUCGGUGAACCAUCUCCUCUUCCCAGUAAACACAGAAGACAAGACAGAGAGGAGCACAGGAGGGAAGAAGAGCCCCUGGGGAAGAAGUCCAGUCUUUGCAGUUUCCCCCACUGUGGCAGAGGGGCCAUCCUCCUCCCUUGUUCCCCAGGAGGCUCCUGUUCAACUUUUCAGAACCAUCUCCUCUUCCCAGUAAACACAGAAGACAAGACAGAGAGGAGCACAGGAGGGAAGAAGAGUCCCUGGGGAAGAAGUCUUUCAGCUUCUUCCAUGCAGCAUGUCUUUCAUGCUGGUUCUUUCUGGCUGACCUGAAACACAGGUGCCUGCAGAGAAAGAUGAAGAACCUCCCCAUGGUCCCCUGCUAGCCCUGACUGUUUCCAUAGGGAAAGGCUGGGUCAUACCCCAGGGCAAAUUCUACUGAUCCUGCACCUGUCCAAGCUGCCCAGUGUGCAGUUAGUUUCCUCUGUAAGAGACGCCCUGGAGGACGUUGGUUCCAUUUGGGGCUCCACCACUGCUGCUGGGGUAUGGGUGGAGGGGAAGGCCACAGGGCCUUGCUGGGGGGGCUGUGCAGCGGGUGUACAGGCUAGGGAGGGGACUGGCAGGCAGGCUAGCUGUGUUGGUGGCUUCCGCCCUGCCUCCUGAUCCUCCUCAGGCCUCUGAUUUCUUUGUUGCUCCUUUGACUAUUCACAACACAGAAAUUUAAAAUGGGAAUGGUAGGCUCACUAUACUUCUGCUGCUUUGAGUUGCCUGAGAUGCCGUGAUGCACUUUGUGGAUGGGGAAGGAGUGCAGCUAGUGGUGGCAUCAGCUGAAGGUGGGGAGGGAGGUUUUGGGACUGUGCUAUAGUCUCCAGCUUGGAUGUCUUGUAGCCUGGGAGCAGAUAGGUGGCCAGUACUUCAUUAUACUUCCGGUGCUGCAAGGAUCCUGAAUCCCUUUUCAAGUAUGACCUAUGGACACCAUCAAUUCAGUCUGCUCAGGGUCCUUAUAGCCAGAGAGUGGCUGGGCACUUGUUUUCCUCCUCAUGCUCUACAUUCAUUUCCUCCUCAUGCUCUACAUUCAUCUUUGGAUUCUAGGGGCCUCUCUUGCUUGUGUUGAGGAUGAGGAAUUUCCUUCUUUCAUUUUUUAAACACAGGAUUUCACCCAGGCUGGAGUACAGGAGGGUGAAGAAUUUCUUGAGAGAAAGUUUUCACACUCCAUAGACAUAUAAGAGUGUUACCGUGGGUAAAUACAAUGGAGAGUGAUUGCUGGAUCUUAUGGUAAGAGCAUGUUUUGUAAGAGUUUUGUGAGAAACUGCCAACUGUCUUCCAAAGUGGCUACACCAUUUUGCAUUUCCACCAGCAAUUAAUGAGAAUUUCUGUUACUCCACAUUUGGUGUUGUCAGUGUUUGCAAUUUUGGCCAUUCUAAUAAGUGUAAAGUGCUAUGUUAUUGUUGUUUUAAUUUGCAAUUCCCAGAUGACAUGUGAUGUGGGACAUCUUUUCAUACGCUUAGUUGCCUUUUGUAUAUCUUUUUCUGUUGAGGUGUCUGUUAAGGUAGUUUGUCCAUUUUCAAUCCGUUGUGCAUUUUCUUUUUGUUAAGUUUUAAGAGUUGUGGCCGGGCGCGGUGGCUCAAGCCUGUAAUCCCAGCACUUUGGGAGGCCGAGACGGGCGGAUCACGAGGUCGGGAGAUCGAGACCAUCCUGGUGAACACGGUGAAACCCCGUCUCUACUAAAAAAAUACAAAAAACUAGCCGGGCGAGGUGGCAGGCGCCUGUAGUCCCAGCUACUCGGGAGGCUGAGGCAGGAGAAUGGCGGGAACCCGGGAGGCGGAGCUUGCAGUGAGCUGAGAUCCGGCCACUGCACUCCAGUCUGGGAGACAGAGCGAGACUCCGUCUCAAAAAAAAAAA
ensembl:lncRNA